AAUAUUGUUCAACCAUAAAAAGAAACGUGACAGUGAUACAUGCUGCCAGUGUGGCUAAACCUUGAAAAUAUUAUACUAAGUGGAAGUCAGUCUCCACAUCUUACUUAUUAUAUGAUUCCCUAUAUACGAAAUAUCCAGAAUGGGUGAAUCUGCAGAGGCAGAAAGCAAAUUGAUGGUUUCCAGGGGCUGAGAGGAGGGGGGAUGUGAGAGGUAACGCAGUGGGAUGAGAUUUUCUUUGGUGAUGAUAACAAUGUUUUAGAACUAGAUAGAGGUAAUGGUUAUACAGUACAGUGAUGUAUUAAAUAUCACUGAAUUUAAAAUGGGUGAUUUUAUGUUAUGUGCAGUUUUUAAAAAAUGCUAUGGAAGAAGAAAGCCACCUAAAUAAGUUGACUGUCUAAGAAGCCUUCCUGACUGUAACUUAUAUACUGUUGGUCAUUUGCUGAAUCUGUGAAGACAGUCUGUUUUAUUUCCUUACUUUUUUUUUUUUUUUGCCUUUUGUCGUGCCAUCUUAAGACCUUGGUUUUCUGUCCCUCCUUGAAGACUCAGUUUCUGUUUGAGUCACUUCUUUCAUUCACUUCCUGACUCACUCAUUCACCUGGUGUCCAGGAGAAUGACAAUUAAUAGGUGAUCUGGGACAGAGGAUAGCUGGCCCUGCUGUGUAACUUUGGCAAGCAUCUUAACUUCUCUGGUCUUAGGGAGAUAUCGAUGAGAUCAUUUCUUGGGAUUCUUUCAAUUUUAAAUUUCUAGAGUUAAGAAAUAAGGAAUGCAUUAUUAGGGUUACUUUAAAUAGUCUGUCAGCUAAAUUCUCUGAUUCUUUUACUUUGAAUUCAUUUAUCAAACCUAGCUAGACAGACAGAAAAAAAAAUAAAUUACAAGUAGAACGAGCCUCCUCUUUUUCAUUAGACCUCAGUAACGAGGAGAAUAUUCAUCUCCAUGUCUGGGGUAAAACUUCUUUGACCACGGGAAACCUUUCUUCAUGGUUUUUCUUUUUUUUUUUAAAGAUUACAAAUGCCCAAUGCAUGAAACUGAUUUAGUUUUCUUAAGCUUUGAAAAGCAUCAAAAAUGAUUUUUUUCUCUCUAAUUAUAUUACAGAAAACAGACACUGCAAUAACUUAAUAGCCCAUCAAAACACUAUCUUCAAGGGUCAUUUAGUAUUUCCAUGAUAAAUUGCUAUUUUUGGAAGCUUAUGUAACCAAACAAAGAAUGUGUUCUUGGCUAUGGCCAGGAAGACAAGUUAUUAUCGUGGGAGGUACAAAGGAAUCUGAGAGGCUCAUGAGAGACGGAGCCAGUUGCAGGGAACAGUUUAUAGAGCGCCCUUUCUUCUGGGUCUCCAGUUUCUGCAAUCAGGAUAACUCAGUGCCUCUCAGAGCCAUUUUCAUUUUUGAAGUGCUCUUCCACCAUUAGCUAAUAAAUACUCAUCAAUGAAUUUUCCUCCGCAUCUUGGAAGGUGGGGGAAAAAGAAAAUCGCUUUCUAUCUCAGAUGUUGGUGUCCCACAUCCUGUUGGUCUCGUCUCUCCAGGACUGUGGCCCUCCAGGAAAAUUUCCCUACUGAAGUGGAAGCAAUAGCCUCGAGGACCUCUUAGAAAGGACCGCAUCAUCAGCUAAGGAGGAAAAGUAACAAAGAACUUGAAGACUUUCAUGGCUCCCAGGCCCUGGAUGGAGGCAAGCGGCAUCAGGCAGCUUCAGACAGAGAACCGUGGAAGCUGAGGGGCAGCCGGGAUGUGCCUGUGGCUGCAAAGCCCAGACUUGUCUUUGGAAAAGACUCAGAAGAACCCAUUAACUUGGCUUCCUCACUUCUGCUCAUCAUACGCGGGUGAAUGGUUUGAAGAUGCUGGCCUAGCAAGAUGGCAACAGGUUUAAAAAAUAGGAUUCAUAAGAAGUUCCUUUUUUCAGACUCCUAGGGUUAAUCCCCAAGACAACCUUGCUUUGAAAGAAAAAAUGUGGUGAGCCUACUUGAAGAUUUGGAUCCCAGAGGCCUCUUCUCUGCCCUGCCUCAGCCAGACACGGGGCAAAGAGACGGACCUUUACAGAGAAAGAAGCAGUAAGUUCUUGUUGUUGUUUGUUUUCAAGGUUUGAUUGCUCUCCAGAUUUAGGGUCCCUGAAAGCAACGGGCUUUUCUUUUCUUCUAUUUCUCUCCUCUCUCUCUCUUUUUCUUUCUUUCUCUGCAGAAAUUAAUAAUAUCCCCUUCCCAUCCUGCGGGUGAUUCAUAAAAGCAAUUGCAUUAGAAAGUGCUUCUUCGUUGCUGCUCGUAGCCUGGGUUAAAGAUAUCUGAAGUUGGUCUGUGUGUGCCUGUUCGCAAUACUGUAAUAUUUGGAAAUGUAUCUGCAUUUGUGAAAAUGAUUUGUACUGAUGAUUCUUCCCUAGAAGAAACACUACAUAGCUGGCUGAUUGAUUGUAAUGAUGAUGAAUUUGUCCCAGGACUGGCAUGGAUGUCUUCUUUGGGGAUUUUUGUGCCUAUUUGCUGCUCAUCAAAGGGAAGCACAGACCGAGUUUGGAAUGAGGGUGUGGUCCGCCUGAUUCAGCUUCCUUCCCGGCCCAUCUCUGCCUCCUGCCUCCUGCUCUUCCCCUCCCACCCUGGCUCCUCCGAUCCUUGCUGAGACUGUCAGUGAAACAGCAUCCACCUUUCUUUUCCCUUACUGCCUGUGUUGUGCUCCAUCAGGUCAGAGACCACUCCCUGUGAUCAAACUCAUCACGUUUGUGAUCUCGGCAUAUUUUCAAUCCAAUUGAAAUCAACUCCCUUAGCUUCUUCCAUCCUGGGAUUAUUCAUCAACGUAGUAAGAGCAAUAAUAAUACUAUAUUUAGAAGUUUCUUAGCACAUUGCAUCUCUGAGAGUCUUAUAGAUGUUACUAAUUAAUCUUCACAACACCCCAUCCAGGAGCGGUAAAUAUUAUUAACCAUAAUAGAAUAUACACAUGUGCGUGCACACACAUACACAUAUAUAUGCUAAGGACAGCAAAAUAGUUCACUUAUUUAUCAUGGUUCACUUGAUACAAUAACUGAUAUUUUUGAGACACCCAUCAUAGAUACAAUAAUUAGAGAUGUGCUUUUGUUAACAAAACCACUACCCACUUCUAGCGUACCCUUGGGUACUAAAUAAUUACCCACUUUGUGUGGUUAUCUAGCUCACUAAUUACCCACAGAAAUUGGGGUCAGGUGUUAACUGCUUGAAAUAAGUAUCCUCUAAAGACAUCGCUGAGUUGUAUAGAGAAGAUGAUGUGUUCAUAGCAAAACUUUUGUAAGUUACAUGUUUGUGUAUCUUUGUAAACAGAGUGAAUACAGACGGGGAUAGAUAAGCUCAGUGUGUGAAAAUCAUGCUGAACCAUUGCUGCAAAUAUAUAGAGGUUUUGGAGAAGCUCAGGAAAUGUCAUUCUCUGUCUACCUUUCCUUCGUGAAGAUGAUCACAAUCAUGAUUCCCAUAAUCGGGACUUCAUAUAUGAGGACACUAAGACAAUUGAUGAUUCUCCUUAGGAAUGAUUCAUUUUGGUGUUACAGGGAGGCACCCAGUGAGUCAAAGAUUUUUUUUGACAGCUCCACCCUUUAUGAUUAUUCUAGCAUGUUUCUUUUUCUGCAUCAGUGUAGUGCAAACAUCCUAUUAGCCAAAUCUGAAAAAGAUUCUAAUCCAGUCUCCAAUCCCUGCCAGCCAUCUCUUUCUCCUUCCCAGUAAUGACAAAAAGAAAAAAAAAAGGAAACCCAACACUAUGAUUGUAGGUCUUUCCCUUUCUGCCUUGAUUUGUUCUGCUUUCCUCUCUCCUCCUCUCCCUUCUUCCUCUCUCUGCAUCUUCUUCUUGUUUGUGCUUUUUCUUCUUUUCCUUGGCAUCCAUCUGUGUUUCUGCAGGUCUCACAGUCAGAGACAAAGCACAAUAUCUUGAGUUGAGCACAAAGAAACUACCUUUUAAAAACAUCAACUUGGAAGAAACCUGCAUCAUCAGCUACCUCCCUCCCUUCCUCGGUCUUUACAGAGCCCGGCAUUAUAUUCAACACAGCACUGCCUGUUGUCUGCAUGAUUCUAGCCACAAAAAUUGGGUGAAGGUGGCAACAUACCCACUGUGUGUUCAGAUAGGUAGAGACCCCAAUUUUCAAGGGACACCGGCUUUAUAGGAUCCUCGAGUAGCUGAGCUUUUAAGACGUGCGCCCGCAAAAAUGAUAGGAUUUUCAUCAAUUCAGGAUGUCUUUCAUUUUCUUCUUGUGCCACUUUUUUCUGUCAUCUGAAUGAUUACUUCUCACGAUCAAGGGACUGUCAGCUGAUCAAUGAAGUGUGUAUGGAUCUGAUGGACAUUUGAGGAGAAAUGCUUCAGGAGUAAGAAAAGAUGUCUGCAGUGGAAGCGGAGGGUCAGGAUGAGCUACAGUCACUGAUACGUUCCCUUGGAUUUGGAAAUGAACUUAAGCGGUAAAUUAGUACACAUGACAAACAGAGUCAAUGUGUAAAGCACAGCCAUUGAAAAGAAAGAGAUUUUUAGCAUUGUAGUCAUCACAUGCCUUAAUGGAGUGUAUACUUUAAAUACAGAUUUGAAUCACUGCUCUUUUAUCCCUCUAAAUGUCAAUUUCAAAGAAGUCCUUGGGCAUUGUUGACUUCUUGUCCGUAAAGAAAACCCAGCAAGAUUCACCAAGUACAUCACCUGCAGUCACAAGCAUACGUGUCUUAAAUGCCCAUGGGAUGUUGAACAAUUAGGCAGAGAACUGCACUGUGGUCUCUUCUCUUCGCUGCUCCCCUCCACCCCCCAUUUUUUUUUUUUCUUUUGGAAAAUGUGAUACCUGAUCUCUGGAUCUAGCAGGGAUGAGGGUUUUUUUCUUUUUUGGUUUCGUUUUUUUGUAUUUGUAUAAUACAAUGUCUGGCCUUCCCCCUGACCUGCUAGUGUAUUUUCGGUCUCAUUAGUAGUCAUAGAGAAGCCCUAGUGCAUCCGGUGCUGAGAGUCAGGUCUGAGACACAGGACAACAGAGAGAGGGAGCGGGUGAGAGGAUAUUAGAAGAGAGGCUUGUCUCCAAGAUAUGGAAGGAAGUGAGAAAUGACAGGACUACAAGCUUUGUAUGGAGGAGCCUGGCAGGGCGGGGGGGAGCGGCGAGGAGCGCAAAGUGGGUUCUCAGAAGCCCUAGAAGAGCUAAAGGUGAUUAGAGGGGGAUAUUGAUUCCUUAUUCUGCCAGCGAUUUAAGCAGGCAUGCGAGGAAUCCGCACCAUGGUUGCAAAAGGAGACCCAUUGCCUCCUGUAACCAGACACUCGGGCUUUCCAGGAGCCCAGCGAGAGCUGAGAAGAAAGGGGGCAGUGUGGUCUAGGAAAAUUCAACUUGUCGCUGAUUUGUGCCUGAUGCUUGCUGUCCGUCAGCAGCCUCCCUUACAAUCUUUUUUUCCUCUCUCCCUUUUUUUUUUUUCUUGCCUUCUCCUUCUUCACUGAAGCCUAGGGGAGCCAGUAAAGAUUAAAUGUGCUUUCUCAAAGGCAGCCACUUCAUGCUGCUAUGUCGAAAGGGCCAUUAUUAUUAUUAUUAUUUUAAUAGUAAAAGAAGAAGGGAGAGAGGUUGAGAGAGAGAGAGAGAAGCUAGGUAGGAUGAUGACGGACUAGCUUUUCCGAGAGGAAAAGGGAAGGGAGAGAAAAAGCAGAGACCCUGAACGGAGGAUUGUGCCUGAGGAGAACCUACAGAGGCGGCACUGGGAGCCGUCCCCACACAGGAAAGCCCAGUUUCCAGGCAGAUGGGGGAAGCGCCGAUCUAGCAGGUACAGAACCAGUAGCUGUCUGCGAAGAUGGAGGGGAAUUAUGCUUCGGAUUCCUCCGAAAUAUUGGCAAAAGGCUUCAAAGGAUCCGCAGCGGGAGCGGGGCGGGGGAGAUGCGCCUCCCAGGCUGGCGCCCACCCCUUCCCACUCCCCUCGACCGAGUGACAGCCUGGUGCUGGCUCGGGGUGGUUUGGCCUUGGCUUCAGCCAAGCAGCUGAUGCACAGGAGGCCUGUUCGCGGGACUGGCAAAGUGCACGCUAAAGAAAGAAGGAGGAAAUUUUGAAAAGCAACCCUGGGGAGGGUUCAUUCUUAUGAAAACAUUAAAAAAAAAUUUUUUUUAAAACUGAAUAUACUCAAAAUUUGAUCAGUCCCAGUCCUUCUCUCCACUCCCACCGAAUUGCCCCCCACCUCCCCUCGUCAAAGCAUAAACUACAGAGUUACAGUCUCUAGAUUUGGUGUAUCGCUUCCUGCCCCCGCCUCCCCCUCCCCGCCCAGUUCUCGGUCCUCUAUUGAAACACCUCGCCCAGGCGAGCGCCCUGCAGCUCACAUUUCCCCCCCUUGCUCGGAUGGUGCUACGGGAGCUGCAGCCUGACUCCACUUCCAAUGGUCGUCUCCAUGUUCCUUUCAGCUGGUCCUAUAGUUCCCCUUCCUCAGGAAUGUCUUCCCAGUGAAAGAACACAGACUGCAGAAACCCUGUCCCGAUGGAUGCUAAAGACAACCGCGAAGUGGAAACAAAGAACAACGCCAUCACCUGAAGACUUCUCUCCUGCCAAGCGACACACCCACACGCUGCAGUUUCAGCCAGUAGCGUCUCAGAACAAGAGGCAAGCUUUUCAAGAGACAGAAACCCUUAAGAAAGCUAUCUAGAUUUGGAAUGAGCGAGGAUUUUCCCUUCCUCAUGUGUACUCCUCUGUUUGUAUUUAAAUUCUGUGUGACAUUCAUUUUUUAAAAACUUUUCUUUUUCUAGUAUGACUAUGCUUAUUAAUACUCUAAUUUUUAAAAUAGAAAAUUGUUCAUGCCAGAGGUCGAUUGCAUGUUAGCCACACACAGAGUUUGGCCUUAAAAGACUGACUUAAAGAAUAUUGAGUUCUUUCGCAAUCACGGAGUUGUAGGAGGCAAUACAGAGGAUAAAAUGAUGGUGGGAACUCAGAAUGUGUCAUCGAAAUACAGUAUCUGGCAAGCUUGGUUCUGUGAGACAUAGUCUUUGCCUCUAAGGAGUUUAAACCUAGUUAAACAGAGGCACAUAAACUUUUGAAAAGAGAAGUAACAGAUCAAGUCAAUUUAUAAGAGCAAAAUGAAAGAUAUAAACAAGGAGCUCAGAGGAAGUCCCCUUAGGUGGGGCAAACUGGUCUGUCUAGGGAAGAAAGUUCCCAAAGGAAGAAAAUACAAGGUGAAUUUUAAAGGAUGUUAAAGAUAUAGAUAAAUGUGAAGGAAAAAGAAAAUAGAAUCCUUUCUAUGGAUGCAAUAUUGUGAGCAAAGUCAGAGAGGAAGGCAUCUACCUGAUGAUUUCAGGAAAUUAUGAAUACACAGAUCCAGCUGACUAAAUUCCAGACUUCCAUUGCCAAUCUAUAUGUACAUAUAUGGUGAAGACUUUGCACACAUACUUCCCCUUGCCCACCUCAGGUGUAGACCAGAAUUAUAAUCAUAUUCCUUCCAUUAAAAUAAGUGAGUGUGAUUGAUGAUAGUAUGUUGAUUUGUGAUUUUUCUGUUAGCCUAAUAACAGUGUAUAUUUAUUGAGUUCUCCCUACAUGUUAAGCAUUUUAUAUAGUAACUCUUUUAAGCUUUACAACAACCCUGCAAAAUAGGUAUUAUUUUGUAUUUCCAUUUUACAUAAAGAAAGUUGAGGUUUAAUUAACUUGGCAAACAGCCACAUACAGGGUUCACAAUCAGGACUGUGAUUUCAGAGCUCACGAUCUAAGGCACUAAGUCACAGUAUUGCAACCAAGUUUGUAAUUUUGCCACUUCUAUAUUCCUUGAUAUUUUUCUAUGGUAGACACAUAGCUAUUUUCUUUAAUCAUCUUCUCAAAAUUUUCAGUUUUCUGGUUGAACUAGCAUGGUGGAAUGUAUUUUCAUGACAGAAAUGGAAGAUACUGGGGAACAGAGUUUAUCAGCAUUUUAAGCUUUUUUUGGACCAGACUCUGAGGAGACUGUUAGCUUUGGUCAGCAUGAAAUCUCAACUUCUUGAGAACAAAAUAGGGGGUGGAGAGAGCUUAAAGGUCAUCUAUUGCAAUGUUCUUUCCUACAGAUGUGAUAAACCUGUAAAGAUAGAGCUACUUACAGAAGAUCGCACAUUUGAGUAUAACAGAACUGGAUCCAGAAAUCAUGCCCUCAGAGGCUCUUGAACUAUACCACCCUGCCUAAAUGAGGCAUGAGCUUGAAUUUCACCAAUGGAAACAUUCUGUCUGGGUGAUCAAGGAGCACCAUACCAAGUAGAUUGCUUCACUUUUGGCUACCUCUUUGGCUUUUCACUUCAAUGUGAAAGAUAGUUAUGAACUGACAUAUUUAGUUUCAAAAGCUGUCAAUGGUCCAGCCACAAAGAACACACAGUAGCCCAAGUUAUGUGUACAAUGUCUUCAAUGAUAUUCUUAAGUUACUUGGCGUUCUUCCUUCACCUAAACCAGUCAGAUCUUCUAAUGAGCAUUUUCUUAACCAGUUUUAUGCACAGUAUAUAUUCAUAAGAGUUUCUGCAGAAUGUUUAAAUGUGUCUGUUUUGAUAGUCUUUAUGGUUUUUUAAAAUAUCAGUGGUUAUUUGCUAUUUUAAUUGUCGGUUAUCCAUAUAACUAACCCAAGAAUACUUCAGCCAUAAAAAACUAGAAUUAAGGAAAUCUUAGUCUUCUAUACUAGCCCCUUUGCCUUUAGUUGGCACUUAGUAAUAAUUAAUAAAAUGGUCUACUGAAGAAUACAGAGGUUCAAAACACAAUUUUGUCUUGAAGGAGUCAGUUGAACUGUGUCUACUUGAGAGCAAGCAUCUAGACUUUUGGAAGGACCUGAAUGUUUGACUGUUGUAAAUUUCCAUUUAGCUAUCCGGCUUUGUCACACUUAGACCUCCUGGUGGCUCAGGCCGUCCUAUUUUCAAAAUGAUGAUCAUUGGCCAUAUCUCACACAGUGAUCAUUAAGUGAGUUCAUAAAUAAACAGGUUGUUUUCUUUUUUAAGCAUAGCCAAGCACAAAAUGUGACUCUGUUGACAUUUUAUGAGACUUUGUCAUAUGUCCCCUGAACCCCCAAUAAAACCAAUGUUGCAUCAACUGUGAA